UGGGGAAUCUUGCGCAAUGGGCGAAAGCCUGACGCAGCGACGCCGCGUGAGCGAUGAAGGCCCUCGGGUUGUAAAGCUCUGUGGAUGGGAAAGAAUAAGUGCAAGUUAACACCUUGCAUGAUGACGGUACCCAUUUAGCAAGCACCGGCUAACUCUGUG
rnacentral:rRNA from 1 species